AUGUUAACGUGUUAAUAAAUGUAAAUAGGUAGACAAACAUGUUUAAAGCAAUUUUACACUCUUACUUUACUAAGAUUGGUGUUAAAAAUUUUAUGUUGCCCAUUCUGGCCCAUUGCUGGCAGUUUUUACAGCAUAUUUGAUGUAACUUAACAAACAAAGUAGGCAUUUAAAAAAAGAGACAAUCUGACGGCUAUAGAGUACGGCUCCGACUGGCUCACAAACCGGCUUUUCUCUCAAGUUUUUUGGAUUAUUUAUAGUAAAAUUGGUGAUAUUUAAUACAAGAAAUGUCGUUUUAUGUGUCGACAUACGCGUUGUUUUAAGUUUUAUCCAGUUAUCAAGUUGUUAUCAAGUUUUAAAUGCAUAUUCAGCAAAAUCAAAAGAGUGUUAUUGUUUAAAGUUUUGGCAGGAAUCAACAAAAAUCAACAUUUACCGAGUACAAUCUGUUCCCGAGUUACGCGAUUUGUGCGUUCCCAAAGAAUCCGCGUGACUCGAAUAUCGGCAGUCCAAGCAAAUGUUGUCACAGAAUCCUCACCGAAGGUCGUACGUUUCCGCAGCCCGUGGAACCAUGAGCUAGAUCGCGUAAAUUUGUCGUCAGCAUGUCGCAUUGGACAAAAGAUACGAGGACCAGUACGCGUGCCGCCGUUCGAUACGAACAGACGCAAAGCAGCUACAAGAGCAAAUAGAAGCCAAAAACGGACGAUUUGCCUUAUUGGAAAUAUCUGUGCCAAGUGAAACAAUUUAAACUUCCUUGUCACGCUCAGUUCGCUCUCGUCGUGAAUGCUGGACCGAUCUAGAAAACAAGCCAACUUCAAGAUGUGUCGGUCUGCGUAGCUGGUAGGUUCUUAGAACGGCUUUGCAUGUGUGAGAGGGCGAAUGAGUUUGUACGUGAAUGUAAAAGUAAACAUGUAGAGUGGUGUCACGCAAUUAGCUGACUGCCUCGCCCGUUCGUUCCAACUGGUCGAGCUAAAACGGCCCCAUCCACAGGAACGGUUUCGAACGGUUCAACCUUGCGCGACUUUGACGUUGGUGGCCCGGCGGCUACAAACAGCAAUGAAUAUGCAAUCACGCACAUUUAAGCACGGCAGACCGGGGACUCACUCUCCAGGAUGGCAAGAGUGCACCAUAGCCGCGCGACUAGCGUCUUGUCGUAGCGAAUUGUCCUAUAAAUUAAUUAUUACAAAUGAACAGAACGUGCAAACGAUCAACGCAAAGAAGACACACUGUUCUCGGCAAAAUGCUUCAAGAGUGCGGGGGAGCUGUAGCAUCUCUCCAGCGGUCGAUGACGAAACGAACGUUUAGCUGCAUCCGUUGAAAAGCUUGUCUUAGUUUUAUGUGUGGCUCGUGCCGAAUGCAAUCAAUGUGGAAUUCCAUCAGAGAUGAUAACAUUUGCACUUCAAACUUCUUAA